rnacentral:lncRNA from 1 species
UGCUGGCUUUUGUGUGGAGCUCAGGGAGAAGCUGGGCUGCCCUUUCUCCCGCCUUUCCCUCCCUCUCCCUUGCUCCCGCAGCAGCUCCAUGGGUGUCAGCGGGCAGCACGGGCGCCUGCAGGAAGUCAGGCGAGGGUGAACCGAAGUGCUGGGGGUUUCUAGGAGGGAGAUCGGGCUCCGGGGUUCCAGGUCCCUCUUAAUCCAUCUUCUUGAACGAGUAA